rnacentral:lncRNA from 1 species
CUUUAAUGGACAUGAAUCAUUGAUCAGCCUCACCUGGCUGCGUGCACCUCCAGGUGCGCCAGUGCACACACAGACGGGCUUGUGCAGUCUGCUGUUUCUGGGGGAGACAUGAGCACCGCCGGAGCCCGUCCUGGCCUCAGCCUGGACAGUGGUGGGCUAUGGCACAAGAGAGCCAUGCAGAGGAGCAGAGCUCUAGUCCGAACCUACCUCAAGUCCAACUCUGUGCUCGCACUGCCUCAGCGCAAUGGAACACGACAAAGGGACAGUGUCCGACUGCCUUCCCUAGCUGCCUUUAAAGCCUCGCACAGGCAGACCACCACGACUCCACUCAGCAUUAGCGAGCCCUCCCUCUUCACCCCGGGAGAACAAGCCGUGUUCGAGGGUUUUUCCCCUAACCGCCGCCCUCCUCUGCGGAAACGACCUCUGCCUCUCUGCAAGUCCUGUGACACAAUAGUAGGAAAGAACCUGAACCAGAGCAACAGACCACUUCUAUACAGCCACUUCUCCUACCCCAUCAGACCCAACCCAAAGCUGGGGAAGCCCAGAUCACAAAGUCUGACCCUGGCCAAGGAGCAAGGCGAGCUCCGUCCUCCGGUGAUGCAGCACUGCCAGUCGUCACACGGGGAGGGUCUAACAGUGAGAGGAAAGCCCUGCCUGAGCCUCCCCAGCCAAUCUUUGCCUCCAGCCGCUUCUAUGCCAGCACGUACACAGCUUCACAUAUUCUUGCCCAUGGAAGGAAUUGGAGGGAGGGAGGAGGGGGACAGUGAAUCUGUGGAUGAAGGGUUUAUGGACGAGCUGGAUAGUAAGAUCACUUCCCUAAAACUCCAGCAGGGGGAGUCCAAGAUUCACACACAUCCUGAUAAGGCCCCUGGAAAAAUAAAGUGACUUCCCACAACCCACUAAGCAAGUUAACUGGGUUUCAUGUUUCAGGAACAACAGAUCUUAAUUGACGACUGCUCAGUUAUGCAAUCCACUUUGUAUGGUGUGUUGCAAAUCUUACCCUGAAAAUUCUGUAGGUUUAAAAGGCUCCAAAUGAGUGUGACGGGAACACUAGUCCUUUUUUUGUGAAAUGUGUAGGCUCAGAAUAGAGGGAUUCUAAAAGUGCAUGAAGCCCUCCACUGGUAUUUUGUCACAGAAGAAUAAAUAAAUCCAACCACUUCUACGUUUUUUU